rnacentral:rRNA from 1 species
UACGGGGGGGGCAAGCGUUGUUCGGAAUUACUGGGCGUAAAGGGCUCGUAGGCGGCCAACUAAGUCAGACGUGAAAUCCCUCGGCUUAACCGGGGAACUGCGUCUGAUACUGGAUGGCUUGAGUUUGGGAGAGGGAUGCGGAAUUCCAGGUGUAGCGGUGAAAUGCGUAGAUAUCUGGAGGGACACCGGUGGCGAAGGCGGCAUCCUGGACCAAUACUGACGCUGAGGAGCGAGAGCCAGGGGAGCAAACGGG